rnacentral:lncRNA from 10 species
CGACAGGACUCCCUCUCACAUGGACUGCUGAGCAGAGCACUGUGAACUGAGGCUUCUAUGCAUCUGCUAAGCACCUGCCAUAGGCUGGACAUCGAGCUAGAUGCGGAGAUCACACCACCGUCUCUCCCCACACAUUAUUUGUCAUCCAACAAGGAAGAGGGAUGAGAAGACAAGAUCAUCACAGCCAGAGAAGCAGCAUUAUUUACAAUAGCCGAAAAAUGGAAGCAACCUAAGUACCCAUCAGCGAAUGAAUGGAUAAGGAAAAUGUGGUCAGAAAGCUGGCAGAGCAUGGCUGGAUUCUCUGCUCGAGGUCUCACAUGCCCAAAAUCAAGGUAUUGGCCGGCUGGGCUCUUGUGUGGAGGCUCUGGGGAAGAACCAUUCAGGCUGUGGACAGAAGACAGCUCCUUGUGGCUAUAGGACUGAGAGCCCUGCUUCCCGCCACCGGCCCUUCAAGCACAAGCCCUCCAGGCCUCAAAUCUCUCUGCCUUCCUCUUCUGCUUGUAAAGGCGCAUGUGAUUUCACUGGACCCACUUUCAAAACCCAGGAUAACUUCCCUAUUUUAAAGUCCAUUUACCUUAAUUAAUCUGCACAGCCACUUUGCCAUGUAAAGUAACAUAUUCGUGGGCAUGAAACCAGGGGGUGAAGGUCAUGUGGCUUUGAGAGCAGCACUCUCGGUGACACAUACUCAAUUCUGCUCCUCCAGUGCAAAAGCAGCCACUGACAAUAUGCAAAGGAAUACAUGCAGCCACAACAUGGAAGAAAUACGUGCAUCAACAACACAUAGCAGCGUGUGUAUGUAUGUGCGUAAAGGCCUUGGAACACAGCUGAAGAAUACUUUUCAAAUCCUUCACUGUUAUUUCCUCUAGGGAAGAGAGUGGAGGCCGAGGCUGGGAAUCCAGGAGCUGUUCCCAUUUUAUUCUGCAUACUUCCCUAUCUUCUGAUGACUUCACAAUGUAACCAUUAAGAAAAAUAAAAAUUGCUCAUGCAUUUACAUAUAUAAAUAUUAAUAUAUGUAAAGAAAACCUUAACCAAUAAUGAUGAUUAUAUCUGGGGAGGAGGGAGUGUAAGGAACUUGCUUUCUAAAUUACAUAUUCCUGCGAUCUUUGCUUUUUUGUUACAAUGAGUCUCUAUUGUUGUGAAUAGAAAAAUAUGUAUACUUUUCAUUGUACUGAUGUCGAUGAAGGAUUUAUGUAAAAAGCCAGAUACUAAAUAUCUCCAAAGUUCAUCCAUUCUGGACUAAUGCUCAUGUUACAACUUUAAGUUAAAAGUGCAAGAGGCAGGCGGAUCCUUUGAGGUCAGGAGUUUGAGACCAGCCUGGCCAACAUGGUGAAGCCCCAUCUCUACUACAAAAAUUAGCCAGGUGUGGAGGCGGGUGCCUGUAAUCCCAGCU